AAUCAUUUAGGUUAAGUUUGGUUUCAUUAGAGUUUGGUUCCUACGUUCAGUUGUGUUUAAUAUGUUGAUAGACUAAAACAAAGAGCAAUUUAAGUGUAGAUAUAGUUAGACCAUCAUCAACCCCAGUCUCUUAACUGAGGUUUUUAGUUUCGGCUAAGAGACUGUUUUUAGCUUUUCUUAGAUUUUAGCUAAGAAAAGUUAAGAAUCGUCUCAUAAAUAAGAGAUAUAAGAGCCGUCUUUUAGCCGAAAAAUGUAAAAAAAAAAACAAAAAAUGUUAAAUCAUGAGUUA
rnacentral:lncRNA from 1 species